CCGCGCCGGCGCAGCGGCGGGCGCGCACGGCGUCGCGCCUGGGCUCGGUGGCGAAACGGCCGGCAACCUGUCCGACCCGUCUUGAAACACGGACCAAGGAGUCUAACAUGUGCGCGAGUCGUUGGGCGCUACGAAACCCGAAGGCGCAAUGAAAGUGAAGGCCCGGUCUCCGGCCGGCCUGGGUGGGAUCCCGGCGGUCUCGGCCGUCGGGCGCACCACCGGCCCGUCUCGUUCGUUACGUCGAGGAGGCGGAGCAAGAGCGUACACGUUGGGACCCGAAAGAUGGUGAACUAUGCCCGAGUAGGACGAAGCCAGAGGAAACUCUGGUGGAGGUCCGCAGCGAUUCUGACGUGCAAAUCGAUCGUCAAACUUGGGUAUAGGGGCGAAAGACUAAUCGAACCAUAUAGUAGCUGGUUNCUGUCGAAGUUUCCCUCAGGAUAGCUGGCGCUCGUCGUGAGCAGUUUUAUCCGGUAAAGCGAAUGACUGGAGGCCUUGGG
rnacentral:rRNA from 1 species